GACGAACGCUGGCGGCGUGCUUAACACAUGCAAGUCGAACGGAAAGGCCCCUUUGGGGGUACUCGAGUGGCGAACGGGUGAGUAACACGUGAGUAACCUGCCCUUGACUUCGGGAUAACUUCAGGAAACUGGGGCUAAUACCGGAUAGGAAUCCUUGCUGCAUGGUGGGGGUUGGAAAGCUUCGGCGGUUUUGGAUGGACUCGCGGCUUAUCAGCUUGUUGGUGGGGUAGUGGCUUACCAAGGCUUUGACGGGUAGCCGGCCUGAGAGGGCGACCGGCCACAUUGGGACUGAGAGACGGCCCAGACGCCUACGGGAGGCAGCAGUGGGGAAUAUUGCACAAUGGGCGGAAGCCGGAUGCAGCAACGCCGCGGGCGGGAGGACGGCCUUCGGGUUGUAAACCGCGUUCAGCAGGGGCGAAGCUUGUGGUGACGGUACUUGCAGAAGAAGCACCGGCUAACUACGUG
rnacentral:rRNA from 1 species